rnacentral:rRNA from 1 species
GACGAACGCUGGCGGCGUGCUUAACACAUGCAAGUCGAACGGAAAGGCCCUGCUUUUGUGGGGUGCUCGAGUGGCGAACGGGUGAGUAACACGUGAGUAACCUGCCCUGGACUUUGGGAUAACUUCAGGAAACUGGGGCUAAUACCGGAUAGGAGCUCCUGCUGCAUGGUGGGGGUUGGAAAGUUUCGGCGGUUGGGGAUGGACUCGCGGCUUAUGAGCUUGUUGGUGGGGUAGUGGCUUACCAAGGCUUUGACGGGUAGCCGGCCUGAGAGGGUGACCGGCCACAUUGGGACUGAGAUACGGCCCAGACUCCUACGGGAGGCAGCAGUGGGGAAUAUUGCACAAUGGGCGGAAGCCUGAUGCAGCAACGCCGCGUGCGGGAUGACGGCCUUCGGGUUGUAAACCGCUUUCGCCUGUGACGAAGCGUGAGUGACGGUAAUGGGUAAAGAAGCACCGGCUAACUACGUG